rnacentral:rRNA from 1 species
AGAGUUUGAUCAUGGCUCAGGAUGAACGCUAGCGGCAGGCCUAACACAUGCAAGUCGAACGGUAACAGGAAGUAGCUUGCUACUUUGCUGACGAGUGGCGCACGGGUGCGUAACGCGUAUACAAUCUACCUUUUACAGGGGGAUAGCCUUUAGAAAUGAAGAUUAAUACCCCAUGGUAUUAUCGAUAUGCAUAUAUUGAUAAUUAAAGUUUCGGUGGGAAGAUGAGUAUGCGUUCUAUUAGCUAGAUGGUGGGGGAACGGCACACCAUGGCAACGAUAGAAAGGGGCCCUGAGAGGGGGAUCCCCCACACUGGUACUGAGACACGGACCAGACUCCUACGGGAGGCAGCAGUGAGGAAUAUUGGACAAUGGGCGCAAGCCUGAUCCAGCCAUGCCGCGUGCAGGAAGACGGCCAUAUGGGUUGUAAACUGCUUUUAUACAGGAAGAAACAGCUCUACGUGUAGAGCCUUGACGGUACUGUAAGAAUAAGGAUCGGCUAACUCCGUGCCAGCAGCCGCGGUAAUACGGAGGGUGCGAGCGUUAAUCGGAAUUACUGGGCGUAAAGCGCGCGUAGGCGGCCUGAUAAGUUGGAUGUGAAAGCCCUGGGCUCAACCUAGUAACUGCAUUCAAAACUGUCAGGCUAGAGUAUGGUAGAGGAUAGUGGAAUUUCCUGUGUAGCGGUGGAAUGUGUAGAUACAGGAAGGAACACCAGUUGCGAAGGCGGCUAUCUGGACCGAUACUGACGCUGAGGUGCGAAAGCUUGGGUAGCAAACAGGAUUAGAUACCCUGGUAGUCCAUGCUGUAAACGAUGAGAACUAGCCGUUGGAGGGCUUGUCCCUUUAGUGGCGCAGCUAACGCGAUAAGUUCUCCGCCUGGGGAGUACGGCCGCAAGGCUAAAACUCAAAUGAAUUGACGGGAGCCCGCACAAGCGGUGGAGCAUGUGGUUUAAUUCGAUGCAACGCGAAGAACCUUACCUACACUUGACAUCCUGCGAAGAUUGCAGAGAUGCGAUUGUGCCUUCGGGAACUGAGUGACAGGUGCUGCAUGGCUGUCGUCAGCUCGUGUUGUGAAAUGUUGGGUUAAGUCCCGAAACGAGCGCAACCCCUAUCCUUAGUUACCAGCGGUUCGGCCGGGAACUCUAAGGAGACUGCCGGUGACAAACCGGAGGAAGGAGAGGACGACGUCAAGUCAUCAUGGCCCUUACGGGUCGGGCUACACACGUGCUACAAUGGGCAGUACAGAGGGCAGCGAAGCCGCGAGGUGGAGCAAAUCCCAGAAAGCUGGUCGUAGUCCGGAUUGGAGUCUGCAACUCGACUCCAUGAAGUCGGAAUCGCUAGUAAUCGCGAAUCAGAAUGUCGCGGUGAAUACGUUCCCGGGCCUUGUACACACCGCCCGUCACACCAUGGGAGUGGGUUGCACCAGAAGCUAGUGCGCCAACCUCUUCGGAGGGGGCAGCGGACCACGGUGAGCUCAGCGACUGGGGUGAAGUCGUAACAAGGUAGCCGUA